rnacentral:rRNA from 1 species
UUCUAACGUGGACCCGUUACCCGGGUUGCGGACAGUGUCUGGUGGGUAGUUUGACUGGGGCGGUCUCCUCCUAAAGAGUAACGGAGGAGCACGAAGGUUGGCUAAUCCUGGUCGGACAUCAGGAGGUUAGUGCAAUGGCAUAAGCCAGCUUGACUGCGAGCGUGACGGCGCGAGCAGGUGCGAAAGCAGGUCAUAGUGAUCCGGUGGUUCUGAAUGGAAGGGCCAUCGCUCAACGGAUAAAAGGUACUCCGGGGAUAACAGGCUGAUACCGCCCAAGAGUUCAUAUCGACGGCGGUGUUUGGCACCUCGAUGUCGGCUCAUCACAUCCUGGGGCUGAAGUAGGUCCCAAGGGUAUGGCUGUUCGCCAUUUAAAGUGGUACGCGAGCUGGGUUUAGAACGUCGUGAGACAGUUCGGUCCCUAUCUGCCGUGGGCGCUGGAGAACUGAGGGGGGCUGCUCCUAGUACGAGAGGACCGGAGUGGACGCAUCACUGGUGUUCGGGUUGUCAUGCCAAUGGCACUGCCCGGUAGCUAAAUGCGGAAGAGAUAAGUGCUGAAAGCAUCUAAGCACGAAACUUGCCCCGAGAUGAGUUCUCCCUGAGACUUAGAGUCUCCUGAAGGAACGUUGAAGACGACGACGUUGAUAGGCCGGGUGUGUAAGCGCAGCGAUGCGUUGAGCUAACCGGUACUAAUGAACCGUGAGGCUUAACCUUACA